GCGAAUCAAUUUUGUAUAGAGUUGGAACGUUUGCCGCUAGGGGCGCUGUUCCAACUGCAUACAAAUUUGAGUUA
rnacentral:pre_miRNA from 1 species